rnacentral:other from 1 species
GGAAACCUGGGAUGUACGACAACUCCUGUAAUUUUGAACCUACAAAACUUUAAACGGGACUCUUAUAUCUCUGUAAUAUGUCAAGCCUCCAAAGGCAGAGGAAGACAAAAAAGCAGAUGCGGACACCCACCUGGCUGCGGCUAGGAGUCAAAAUACAGGAACCGGCAUUUUGGGCUAUAC